rnacentral:rRNA from 1 species
UAGGGAAUAUUGGGCAAUGGGCGCGAGCCUGACCCAGCCAUGCCGCGUGCCGGAUGAAGGCCUUCUGGGUUGUAAACGGCUUUUGACCGGGAAGAAAAAACCUCUGCGGAGGGAAUCGACGGUACCGGUUGAAUAAGCACCGGCUAACUCCGUGCCAGCAGCCGCGGUAAUACGGAGGGUGCAAGCGUUGUCCGGAUUUAUUGGGUUUAAAGGGUGCGUAGGUGGCCCCGUAAGUCCGUGGUGAAAGCCUCUUGCUUAACAAGAGAACUGCCAUGGAUACUGCGGGGCUUGAGUCCAGACGAGGUUGGCGGAAUAGAAGGUGUAGCGGUGAAAUGCAUAGAUACCUUCUAGAACCCCGAUUGCGUAGGCAGCUGACUAGGCUGGUACUGACACUGAGGCACGAAAGCGUGGGGAGCAAACAGG